UUGGAGGUGGAGACCUCAACAACCUUGCAUGGGCGGUUCUUGAUGACAAUAUGACCGUUCUUGCGAAUAGUACCAGCCUGCUGCGGGUAGGUCUUGGACGCGCCGGCGUCGGCCUUCGACUCGAAGUGGUGCUCCUCGGAGUCCGACAUCGCCCGCUCCUCGGAUCAGAAACCCCUACAAAAUCCCCUUGCGAGAGGUGGUCGCGGCGGCG
rnacentral:misc_RNA from 1 species